rnacentral:tRNA from 1 species
GGCGGAAUUGGCAGACGCACUACUUUGAGGUGGUAGCGGGCGAAAGCUUGUGUGGGUUCAAGUCCCGUC